CUGGACUGCCCUGAUUUUGUCCUCAAAAUCAAAUGUCUUAUUUACAAAGUUUGCCCAGACGAAAUUCUCACAUCUGCGCAGGCGCAAAAGUAUUAGCUUUCAGCGGCAGAAUUACCAUAUGAAUUCAAAAGGAUUAGGAUAGUUUGGCCUAAAAGACGAAAACAUAAAAUGCAUGAUUGAUGCGUUGACAGCAGAAAAUAGAAAAAAGAAUCGACAAAAAACACGAAGAAAUUAAGGAAAAAAACCUAGAAAACUUUCAACCUUUGUCAAGCAAAGUUUUCCCCUGCAACCACCAUUGGGAAAUGGGAAAACUCAGUCGCAGCUGCCGAGAAAAACUCUCCGCUCCUCAUAUGCAAAUCAGUUUAACCGUCGGUUCAUCAUUCCCGUCGUCCUGCGAAUCUUGCAAUUUGAAUCGGCAAAAGCGAAAGCAACAUCCAAUGCGACAGGCAUGCCGAAUCAGAAAACUGGUACAGCGUUCGCUUUCUCCAUUGUCCUGCCAAGGAUCUGCCUGCAAAAGUGUCAGAAUUUGGAAAAUCGCUGGGAUUGAUCACUCGAGUCCUUAACAUGAUGUAGAGCAUGGCUUUUGCAUAAUUUAGUUCGGGUUUACAAGGUUCUUACAAGGGAAUUAAUGAGAAAGUACCUAAGUUAUGGGAAAGUUAAGAGACAAAUGGUUAUCCUUUUUUUACAGGAGAGUUUAGUGUCAAAAAUAUUCGAACAAAAGCAUAAACGAAGUUUUAGAAAUUCAUAUUUUUGGAUGAAAAUAUUCCUAUUAUAUUGUACCAUUUUUAGUUGCAUCUGUCAUUAGUAAAAUA